CAGAGGCGGCGGCGGCGGCGGCCGGUCCCGCAGGCAGGGGGCUGAGGCGGCCCGGGGAUGCGGCGCUGAGCGCGCUCCGCCGCCACUCCGCGCGGGCUCCUGCGCGCCGCCGUUGCCUCCCGCCGCCCAUGAUGUGCCUGGAAAGCGACGGCUCCUCCGGCAGCAGCCCGGGCUGCGGCGGGCGGCUCCGAGCCGGCGACGAGGAGGAGGAGGAGGACGGCGAGCGGGGCUGCUGCGGCCGCGGCGCCGAGGGCGAGGUGCAGACCCUGUCGGGCCGCAUGAACCCGCCGGCGGCCGCCAAGAACCCCGAGCGCCCGGCCGCCCGCCACAAGGCGCCGAGCCUCGGCCGGGCCCGCGUGGCCGCCGCGGGCAUCCUCAGCGUGGGCAACGUGCUCAACUACCUGGACCGGUACACGGUGGCAGGUGUGUUACUAGACAUCCAGCAGCACUUUGGAGUCAAAGACAGCGGGGCUGGCUUGUUACAGACAGUUUUCAUCUGCAGUUUCAUGGUUGCAGCGCCUAUCUUUGGUUACCUCGGUGACCGUUUCAACAGAAAGAUAAUUCUCAGCUGUGGGAUCUUCUUUUGGUCAGCGGUCACUUUUUCAAGCUCCUUCAUCACUGAACAGUAUUUCUGGCUUCUCGUGCUGUCACGAGGUUUGGUGGGCAUCGGCGAAGCAAGUUACUCCACUAUUGCUCCAACCAUCAUAGGAGACCUUUUCACCAAAAACACAAGGACCCUUAUGCUGUCUGUUUUCUACUUUGCAAUUCCUCUUGGCAGUGGCUUGGGAUACAUCACUGGGUCAAGUGUGAAGCAGGUUGCUGGAGACUGGCACUGGGCAUUGCGGGUAUCUCCACUCCUGGGUAUGAUAACAGGGACACUCAUCUUGAUAUUCGUACCUGCUGCUAAAAGAGGAAAUGUUGAACAACUCGGGGGACAGCUGAAAGCUCGAACCUCGUGGCUAAGAGACAUGAAGGCACUGAUUAGAAACCGCAGCUACGUUUUCUCAUCGUUGGCCACCUCAGCUGUCUCCUUUGCUACAGGGGCACUCGGCAUGUGGAUCCCUCUCUACCUUCAUAGAGCACAGGUCGUGCAGAAAACAGCAGAGACCUGCAGCUCACAGCCCUGUGGCACCAAAGAUAGUUUGAUCUUCGGAGCAAUCACAUGCUUCACUGGUUUCCUGGGUGUAAUCACAGGGGCCGGGGCAACCAAAUGGUGCCGAUUAAAAACCCAGCGAGCUGAUCCUCUUGUCUGUGCUGUUGGCAUGCUAGGAUCAGCCAUCUUCAUCUGUCUGAUCUUCGUUGCUGCCAAGAGCAGCAUUGUGGGAGCCUAUAUUUGCAUUUUUAUCGGAGAAACUCUUCUGUUUUCAAACUGGGCUAUCACAGCAGACAUACUAAUGUAUGUGGUCAUUCCAACACGUCGUGCAACCGCAGUGGCCUUGCAGAGUUUCACCUCACACCUCCUGGGAGAUGCUGGCAGUCCUUAUCUGAUUGGAUUUAUCUCAGACCUGAUACGACAAAGCACAAAGGAGUCCCCGCUCUGGGAGUUCCUCAGCUUGGGGUACGCACUCAUGCUCUGCCCGUUUGUCGUUGUCCUAGGAGGGAUGUUUUUCCUGGCCACAGCCCUCUUCUUCCUAAGUGACCGAGCCAAAGCUGAACAACAUAAAGAAACCGAUUCGGACCACCUCACGGUUGGCAACUACAGUAAUUCAGAAGACGCUUCCACAUGACAUACACACUGCUGGGGGUGAAUCAACUCGUGAUGCCACCGGCCUCCGUGAAAGUCUGAGACGUUGCCAAUGAAGGAAACCACACGUGGACUACUGCGCCCACCACCACACCGAUCUCAAGCUCAAAGCCCCUCCGUACUGGAAAUGGGUGGACCCUCCAGCUGCGAGCCACCCUGGAAGGGUUAUCCAGCGCCAACCCGAUCACGCUGCUCCAGCCUGUGGGCUCAGGUGCCAGGAGAUGAGCGGGGCAGCCUGGAACGCAGUGCUUCUCGAGCAUAAGGACGUUCGCAGGUUCCUCUGAGCAUUGAAAACAACUGUCCGCCGGACCCACAACGUGCUACCCAAGUGAGUGACUGUAGAUUGUGUAUACGGUUUUAGUUGUAGCCAGUGAAGUACGCAUUAUUUAUAGGGCAACUUCCGUCCUAUUGAAUGCUGCUGUUCUGCCAGCACUCCCGCACCCAGAGACUGCACUAGUUGGGAACCUUUUCUGUACAUCACCUUUUCUUUAACACUGAAGGCUCAAGUCAGAUUAUUUUUUUUUUAAUUUAAACAUGUCAUAAGAUGCUUUAUCUCUACUGAAUAUAUUAGAUAUCAGAUAUCUAUCUCUCUCUAUAUAUAUAUAUUUAGAUAAACAAUUUUUAUUUAAACAUUGGAAAUCUGGAGCUGCCUGUGCAACCAUACCAGACAUAAAUACGUCCACAAUCUCCUCAUCUCAGUGCCCUGGUACCAGGCACGAUAGGAGGGCUUACGGUGGAUGACAGCCUGUCACCUGAGGCUGAGCAAUGGGACAGAGGAGAGAGUUUCACUGCACUGGGUAUGCUGGCCGUUGUUACAGAAAGACCCCGAAGAACCUUGGACAGAAAUACCUAGGGGCUCCAGCGUUUGCUCAGUAUACUAAAUUCAGCCUUGCCUGGGAGGUUGACAGGUUUUUAAAAUACCAAAAUGUAUAGGGCUGAAUUGCUUUACCUAGGGCCUGGUAUUGUAAUACUGCUGUGCCAGUGAGGACAUGCUUUGUUUACAUGCAUAUCAUGUUACCCGUAUCGUACAUGCUAGUUCUCCCUCCGUCAGUAUUUUCAAAGCAGGUGGCUGAUACUCUACAGUAACUGUUCCCUUGGGAACAAUGGUUCACUUUUAAUGCACACACAGUUUUAAUGCACACACGUUGGGGUGUCAGUUGUAGUCACUUUUAUCUUAAUGAAGAUGCACUUGAGAUCUUUAAUAUGUGAAGCCAGUGUCUGAACUCCUUUAGAUUCCUAGAUGCAGAGGAGUAUGGUGUGUCUGUAAAGCAGUCGGUGCCAUUUCACAGAAGAGUCUUGUUUCCUGCACUUGACCUCCAGAAGCCAAAUUUACACUGUGUCGGCUUGAAGUUGUGACAGUUUGGGGAAGGAAGGAGAGCGCGGGCCCAGGAGAAAGAGCCAGGUUCCAGAAACAGGGCACUGGGUCAGUGAUCCCCCACCCCCUUAUUUCUGUUUUGGAGAUGUCUCUCGUAGCUUAGAUGCUUCCCUCCAGUUUGGCACACACCUCUGAUAGGUGAAUGUACCUCACUCUUGUGCUCAUGUUUAACAAAGUGGCCACAGCUGGGGGACAAGUAGGACUAAAUCAGCAAAGGAAAUGCCAAACCGAGACUGGACAGGAUGCAAGUAAGUCUGGAAGGCGGCUACUACUUUCUGUAGGCUACCUACUUUCCUGUAAUCCUGAAUGUGGCAUGAAUUUGUUCACAGAGACACGGGAAGGUACUGUUAGUAAAUCUCCCACUCACUUCCAGUACGUGUCGUGAUCUACGGUGCAGGGUUGUAAUAGAGAUGGUGAGUAAUUCCAGUUACCAGCAGACUGGUCAAUACUCACAGCAACAGCCAGUCUCUUCUGAGGUAGAUGUGUUUUAACAGUGUCUCCUAUAAAAUAUAAACAUUUCCUCCUUGUGAAGCUCCAUAGGACUCUUCUGCAAAGGCUGCUCUGUCACCUAAAAUCCCUUAACAAUGGCUUUAAGGUUUGGCUAAACAACCAGAGCCAGAAAUUUUCCUCGAGCUUCUGGGUAUCCUCUGGAGAACAGCAAAUGCCUGCUAGAAAUAAUAAAGCAAAGCAAAUCCAGAACAAUGCUUCAUUUCCCAGCUCGUGCCACUAUUUACAUUGGUAGGGGAAAUGCCGACUCUGUAGUCCAGCAGCCAAAUGCCUGGCUUUAAAGGCACGUGAAUUUCUGAUUCCCAUUAAGAAGUUCCUUGUUAAGCUUUAUAAAAAGAAACAAAAUGCAACCCAGCAAUUAGUCACUUCAUCUCAGAGACCAAAGGAAGAUUAGCCACGUUUCUAAGUUGCUUUUCUGACUGGCUGUCUUUCAGCUGUAGCAUUUACUGCCAACAAAAAUGAAGCAUUCCUGCUAAAGUUCAGAGGUUAAGAAUUGUCUUAAAACUUAGUUCUCAGCAGUCAAAAAUGAAAAGGAAACUCGUGUUUUGGGAUUUUCACUGGCUCUCCUUGUUUAUGACAAGCUUCAAUCCUUGUCAGAGCAGCACAGCGCUGUUACAGGAGGCUAGCUUAUCGUCUGUGAAUAUGGAGGAAAUUGCUGUGACUUUCUUUUUAAGAAGGAAAGAGGGAAGGGAGCAGAAAAAGUGAGUCCUACCUGCAGCAGGUCCACCCCAAGGAGGGGCCCCUGAAUCCCUGCUCCCACGUGUUCCAGGCUGAGAGAGGGAAGACAAAGCAACAGGAGAGGUAAAAGAAAAUUCUUGCCUUUCCACCUCCUGCACACGCUGCUGCCCCUGUACGGCUUGAUGACCCAAAUUCACUCAGUCAGCAGUUGAAAGGCUGGUUUCUUGAUGAGUGUUUCUUGUUUUAGCUGUGUGUCUGUAUUCCAAGCUGGAGGAACUGUUCAGUUAGAGCUUCUAUAAAGUAUUCUGUCUAUUAGAGGGACACCAGCUCACUUAGAUCAAAGGUCCCUGGGAGUAAGGCAUUAACGGGUACAAGUCUGGGCAUGAAGCGUACAUAUUAUCGAACAGAAAGAGGGCAUAUGUUGCCAUUUAAGUUCCCUUCCUUGGGUUGCAACAUACUGUCUCCUGUCCUAGGUUGCCCCAUCUCCACCAGUGUGGGGCUUGCAGAAAGUCACUACUUGCACCUCAGUUUCUGUAUGUACAAAACUGAGAUGCUCACCGCUGAGAUGCUGUACAAACAAGCAGCGUUGGGCUUCUGUACUCUAAUAGAGGUCAGACGCUCCCCGUUAUUAGAAGAUGAGUUAGCAUACUGCCUUACACCAUGCUGAGCUCUGGGCUUAGCAUGCAGUAUUGUACUCAUUUCCCUUAUGACUCCACAUGUAAAAAUUUUAGGUAGGUGUAGAUGUAAUCAGGCUUGGAAGCUUUUAGGGCAAUUUUGGUUGUUGAGCAGUGUAGGAGCAAUCAAAAGAUUUUUGGUAUAUGCAUAGGAAGCAUUUCUGAAAUGCGUAAAAUCUGCAAAUAUGACCCAUUUACUGAGUUUAAAUAUCACUUAUAUCAAAGCUGAAUAACAGCCCCCAUCAAAAUUAGUAUUUCUAGUUUUUUUUUUAAUAAAGACAGACUGAUAAUAGGAAAAGAUAAAUUUUAAUCAAGAAUCCACAUAUUUUAGCAUCCAUAAAAACAAAUGAAGCAAGGUUCCAGCUUAUCACUUAAAUAUACAGUUGUUCAGGUCAUCAAGGUUAUGUUUGUGGUUCAGCUUCAACAUAAAAUUCAGUAGUCCGAAUAAGGACAGAAAUACCUUUAAAGCCACUGAUCUCUUGCACAUCAAUGACUGCACAUGAACGUCUGAACAUUAGUGUACAUAAAAAGGAGCCCUUGACUUCAUUUGAAAGCAGAUAGGAAAAUACUACCAAAAGGGAGAAAGCAGCACACAUGCCCUGCCUUCCCUGCACGUACACGUCUCCUCAGGCCAGGGAGCCAGGGAGGAGAAGGGUGCUCAGGUAAUCGGCCGGUGCCGUCGUGCAUCGCCCGCGCUCCCCGGUACCUGCUGCCUCACUCCGCUCCUCGGGGCCAUGACUGCUCCUUGCCCGGUGCUCUGCUCCUUCCCCACCUCUGCCUUAAUGCCGAUCGUCUCCAAUGCCUUGCCGCAAGACGCAGGCUCCUUCCAACAGCUCGGCGCUCUUUGGGUCCUCCGGCGUCACACGCAGCCCGCUGCAUUCAUCCAGGUCCGUGCCUGAGCGUGCAGGGGUGGGGUGUCCAGAGCGCUGGGGAGGGUACGGAAAGCUGCUCAGUUGGUCAUGAGGGCGUUCUUCUGCUCCGCUUCAUAAAGGGUAUGGGUUUGUUUAAGCAAUCAUUAACUCCCUCCACAGCUAACGCUGCAUUUGCACCAAUGCACCCACCGCAGAAGAAGCAAUUAGGUUGCUUGUACAGAGCAAGAGGAAUAGAGGUAAUGGGAACUGCACAGAGAGGCAAGAGAAGUGGCCCAAAAGCAGCGAGCUGCCGACCUAAGUAACUGUAAUGCCUCGGGCUGCCAUCGCUGACAGAGCGAGAAUCUGGGAGACCCCAACAGCCUCUAGCCUUUUAUAUACUAGCUAAGAACGAACCUCAGGGUGACAAAACCCUCUCAAGUGAACAGAUGUACUCUGGAAAGCAGAGUUCCUCUCUGCACCCUCUGUCCUAAUUGUGUGGUUUCUUCUCUGUUUGCUUUAUUGUUUGGUAAACCAGCACUUACGAUCACUUCUACUAUGUGAUGUAUGGGAGUAUAUAGUGUAUUUUCUUGUUAUACAAGGGAGGAGUAUAAAAUAGUUUUCUGAUUUCUUUCAGAAGCAAAUGGCUAUUUUAUUUUUUAAGAGCAAUUGAUUGUGAAUCUCAGAGUAUAAGAAAAAGAGAAAUAAGCCAAAUAUAUACCUUUAUGUAAAUUAAGAAAUAAAAGUAUUUAAAACAUA